AUACCGAAGAAUGUUAUCACGGGAGACACACGGCGGGUGCUAACGUCCGUCGUGAAGAGGGAAACAACCCAGACCGCCAGCUAAGGUCCCAAAGUCAUGGUUAAGUGGGAAACGAUGUGGGAAGGCACAGACAGCCAGGAUGUUGGCUUAGAAGCAGCCAUCAUUUAAAGAAAGCGUAAUAGCUCACUGGUCGAGUCGGCCUGCGCGGAAGAUGUAACGGGGCUAAACCAUGCACCGAAGCUGCGGCAGCGACACUAUGUGUUGUUGGGUAGGGGAGCGUUCUGUAAGCCUGCGAAGGUGUGCUGUGAGGCAUGCUGGAGGUAUCAGAAGUGCGAAUGCUGACAUAAGUAACGAUAAAGCGGGUGAAAAGCCCGCUCGCCGGAAGACCAAGGGUUCCUGUCCAACGUUAAUCGGGGCAGGGUGAGUCGACCCCUAAGGCGAGGCCGAAAGGCGUAGUCGAUGGGAAACAGGUUAAUAUUCCUGUACUUGGUGUUACUGCGAAGGGGGGACGGAGAAGGCUAUGUUAGCCGGGCGACGGUUGUCCCGGUUUAAGCAUGUAGGCUGGUUGUCCAGGCAAAUCCGGAUAAUCAAGGCUGAGGUGUGAUGACGAGGCACUACGGUGCUGAAGUAACAAAUGCCCUGCUUCCAGGAAAAGCCUCUAAGCAUCAGGUAACAUUAAAUCGUACCCCAAACCGACACAGGUGGUCAGGUAGAGAAUACCAAGGCGCUUGAGAGAACUCGGGUGAAGGAACUAGGCAAAAUGGUGCCGUAACUUCGGGAGAAGGCACGCUGGUGUGUAGGUGAAGUCCCUGCGGAUGGAGCUGAGACCAGUCGAAGAUACCAGCUGGCUGCAACUGUUUAUUAAAAACACAGCACUGUGCAAACACGAAAGUGGACGUAUACGGUGUGACGCCUGCCCGGUGCCGGAAGGUUAAUUGAUGGGGUUAUCCGUAAGGAGAAGCUCUUGAUCGAAGCCCCGGUAAACGGCGGCCGUAACUAUAACGGUCCUAAGGUAGCGAAAUUCCUUGUCGGGUAAGUUCCGACCUGCACGAAUGGCGUAAUGAUGGCCAGGCUGUCUCCACCCGAGACUCAGUGAAAUUGAACUCGCUGUGAAGAUGCAGUGUACCCGCGGCAAGACGGAAAGACCCCGUGAACCUUUACUAUAGCUUGACACUGAACAUUGAGCCUUGAUGUGUAGGAUAGGUGGGAGGCUUUGAAGCGUGGACGCCAGUCUGCGUGGAGCCAACCUUGAAAUACCACCCUUUAAUGUUUGAUGUUCUAACGUUGGCCCCUGACCGGGGUUGCGGACAGUGUCUGGUGGGUAGUUUGACUGGGGCGGUCUCCUCCUAAAGCGUAACGGAGGAGCACGAAGGUUAGCUAAUCCUGGUCGGACAUCAGGAGGUUAGUGCAAUGGCAUAAGCUAGCUUGACUGCGAGCGUGACGGCGCGAGCAGGUGCGAAAGCAGGUCAUAGUGAUCCGGUGGUUCUGAAUGGAAGGGCCAUCGCUCAACGGAUAAAAGGUACUCCGGGGAUAACAGGCUGAUACCGCCCAAGAGUUCAUAUCGACGGCGGUGUUUGGCACCUCGAUGUCGGCUCAUCACAUCCUGGGGCUGAAGUAGGUCCCAAGGGUAUGGCUGUUCGCCAUUUAAAGUGGUACGCGAGCUGGGUUUAGAACGUCGUGAGACAGUUCGGUCCCUAUCUGCCGUGGGCGCUGGAGAAUUGAGGGGGGCUGCUCCUAGUACGAGAGGACCGGAGUGGACGCAUCACUGGUGUUCGGGUUGUCAUGCCAAUGGCACUGCCCGGUAGCUAAAUGCGGAAGAGAUAAGUGCUGAAAGCAUCUAAGCACGAAACUUGCCCCGAGAUGAGUUCUCCCUGAGACUUUAAGUCUCCUGAAGGAACGUUAAAGACGAUGACGUUGAUAGGCCGGGUGUGUAAGCGCAGCGAUGCGUUGAGCUAACCGGUACUAAUGAACCGUGAGGCUUAACCUU
rnacentral:rRNA from 1 species